GAUGAACGCUGGCGGCGUGCCUAAUACAUGCAAGUCGAGCGAACGGACCAGAAGCUUGCUUCUCUGAUGUUAGCGGCGGAUGGGGGAGUAACACGUGGAUAACCUACCUAUAAGACUGGGAUAACUUCGGGAAACCUUAGCUAAUACCGGAUAAUAUUUUGAACCGCAUGGUUCAAAAGUGAAAGACGGUCUUGUUGUCACUCAUAGUUGUAUCGGCGUUGCAUUAGCUAGUUGGUAAGGUAACGGCUUACCAAGGCAACGAUGCAUAGCCGACCUGAGAGGGUGGUCGGCCACACUAGAACGGAAACACGGUCCAGACUCCUACGGGAGGCGGCGGUAGGGAAUGUAACGCUAAGGGCGGAAGCCUAAAGGGACAACGCCGCGUGAGUGGUAGAAGUAUUCGGAUCGUAAAACUCUGCUAUUAGGGAAGGACAUGUGUGUGAGUUACUGUGAACAUCUUGACGGUACCUAAUCAGAAAGCCACGGCUAACUACGUG
rnacentral:rRNA from 1 species